GAGUUACUGUUACAUGGCAUGGCUGCCUGGAUACCGCCAACGCCUAGCGUCAGCGGCUGCGGCAGCGUUUCAUGACUAAGCACAGCAACCUUUCGUCAGCCCAAGCCACCACCCCGCUUUCCCCGCCUGCUACACCUGUCCCUAAACCUCCAUCCUAACCCGUUCCCCGCCUUCCGCUCCUCCCUUCCUCCCCAACAGCACGGCUGGCACGCCAAGUGGACUGUCGCCACCCUGCCCUACAACGAGACCGGCGGCGAGGCUGUGUGGGACCUGCAGACCGCGGAUGAGGUGACCGACGCCAUCCUCUACCCCGAAGUCUGCGUCAUCUGCACCUUCCCCGACGGCUCAACCGACUACUGCCAGUGCGACCGCCGCAACGGUGCCACCAACUACCUGUCAGUCGAGACCAUCGUACAGGACUCCAUCACUCCCGCCAUGCGCGCCGCCGCCAUCGCGCUCUCCGUCUUCUCGCCGCUCUUCCUCAUCUUCUACGCCACUGCCGACACGCUCUAUUUCCGCAACACGGGUAAAUCGCUGCGCAUCGGCCACAUCUAAAGGAUUCGAGCUAGGCACCAGUUGCUGUAGCUGCUAUACGGUGUUUGGCUUUUGUGCCGGCUGCUUUUGUGCCGGUGGGGGCUAGUUGGGCACAGCCUGUUGUUGUGUUGGGACGGCUGGAGACCUGCAAUCCAUGCGUUGUGCCGCCGGGAAACCGGUGUGUGGAGGGAGCG
rnacentral:lncRNA from 1 species